GGCUAACACAUGCAAGUCGAGGGGUAACGGAAGUAGCUUGCUACUAGACGACGACCGGCGCACGGGUGAGUAACGCGUAUGUAAUCUGCCUUGUACAGAGGGAUAGCCCAGAGAAAUUUGGAUUAAUACCUCAUAGUAUUACUGGAUCGCAUGAUUUGGUAAUUAAAGCUCCGGCGGUACAAGAUGAACAUGCGUGACAUUAGCUAGUUGGUAAGGUAACGGCUUACCAAGGCUACGAUGUCUAGGGGUUCUGAGAGGAUGAUCCCCCACACUGGUACUGAGACACGGACCAGACUCCUACGGGAGGCAGCAGUGAGGAAUAUUGGUCAAUGGACGCAAGUCUGAACCAGCCAUCCCGCGUGAAGGAUGACUGCCCUAUGGGUUGUAAACUUCUUUUAUAUGCAAAUAAACCUACUU
rnacentral:rRNA from 1 species